GGGGGGGGGGGGGGGGGGGCCGGGCACAUGCGGGUCGAGCGGGGGGAGGGAGCGUGCUCCUGGGUGCAGCGGCGGACGGGGGGGUGAUGCCUAGGAAGCUGCCUGGUAGGGGGGGAUAACGUCCGGAAACGGGCGCUAAUACCGCAUACGUCCUGAGGGAGAAAGCGGGGGAUCUUCGGACCUCACGCUAUCAGAUGAGCCUAGGUCGGAUUAGCUAGUUGGUGGGGUAAAGGCCUACCAAGGCGACGAUCCGUAACUGGUCUGAGAGGAUGAUCAGUCACACUGGAACUGAGACACGGUCCAGACUCCUACGGGAGGCAGCAGUGGGGAAUAUUGGACAAUGGGCGAAAGCCUGAUCCAGCCAUGCCGCGUGUGUGAAGAAGGUCUUCGGAUUGUAAAGCACUUUAAGUUGGGAGGAAGGGCAGUAAGUUAAUACCUUGCUGUUUUGACGUUACCAACAGAAUAAGCACCGGCUAACUUCGUG
rnacentral:rRNA from 1 species